rnacentral:rRNA from 1 species
UACGGAGGGAGCUAGCGUUGUUCGGAAUUACUGGGCGUAAAGCGCGCGUAGGCGGCUUUGCAAGUUAGAGGUGAAAGCCCGGGGGCUCAACCCCGGAAUUGCCUUUAAAACUGCAUCGCUUGAAUCCGGGAGAGGUGAGUGGAAUUCCGAGUGUAGAGGUGAAAUUCGUAGAUAUCAGGAGGAACACCGGUGGUGUAGACGGCUCA